UACAGAGGGUGCGAGCGUUGUCCGGAAUUAUUGGGCGUAAAGAGCGCGUAGGCGGUCCGAUAAGUCGGCUGUGAAAGUCAGGGGCUCAACCCUUGAAAGCCGGCCGAUACUGUCGGACUAGAGUCCGGAAGAGGCGAGUGGAAUUCCCGGUGUAGCGGUGAAAUGCGCAGAUAUCGGGAGGAACACCAAUGGCGAAGGCAGCUCUCUGGGCAAUUCCUGACGCUGAGGCGCGAAAGCGUGGGGAGCAAACGGG
rnacentral:rRNA from 1 species